AUACGGAGGGGACUAGCGUUGUUCGGAAUUACAGGGCGUAAAGCGUACGUAGGCGGAUCGGAAAGUAUAGGGUGAAAUCCCAGGGCUUAACCCUGGAACUGCCUUAUAAACUCCCGGUAUUGAGUUCGAGAGAGGUGAGUGGAAUUCCGAGUGUAGAGGUGAAAUUCGUAGAUAUUCGGAGGAACACCAGUGGCGAAGGCGGCUCACUGGCUCGAUACUGAUGCUGAGGUACGAAAGUGUGGGGAGCAAACAGGAUUAGAAACCCUAGUAGUCC
rnacentral:rRNA from 1 species